AUACGGAGGAUCCGAGCGUUAUCCGGAUUUAUUGGGUUUAAAGGGUGCGCAGGCGGCCAUUUAAGUCAGCGGUUAAAUCGUGGGGCUCAACCCCAUUCUGCCGUUGAUACUGGGUGGCUUGAUUGCGGUCGAGGUUGGCGGAAUUCGUUGUGUAGCGGUGAAAUGCAUAGAUAUGACGAAGAACACCGAUUGCGUAGGCAGCUGACCAGACCGCAAAUGACGCUCAUGCACGAAAGUACGGGGAUCGAACAGGAUUAUAUGCCCUGGUAGUCCGCACAGUAAACGAUGAAUACUUGUUUUCGGCGAUAUAAUGUCGGAGGCAAAGCGAAAGCGAUAAGUAUUCCACCUGGGGAGUACGCCGGCAACGGUGAAACUCAAAGGAAUUGACGGGG
rnacentral:rRNA from 1 species